AACAGGAUUAGAUAGCCUGGUAGUCCACGCCGUAAACGAUGAGUGCUAGGUGUUAGGCCCUUUCCGGGGCUUAGUGCCGCAGCUAACGCAUUAAGCACUCCGCCUGGGGAGUACGACCGCAAGGUUGAAACUCAAAGGAAUUGACGGGGGCCCGCACAAGCGGUGGAGCAUGUGGUUUAAUUCGAAGCAACGCGAAGAACCUUACCAGGUCUUGACAUCCCGAUGCUAUUCCUGGAGAUAGGAAGUUUCUUCGGAACAUCGGUGACAGGUGGUGCAUGGUUGUCGUCAGCUCGUGUCGUGAGAUGUUGGGUUAAGUCCCGCAACGGGCGCAACCCCUAUUGUUAGUUGCCAUCAUUAAGUUGGGCACUCUAGCGAGACUGCCGGUAAUAAACCGGAGGAAGGUGGGGAUGACGUCAAAUCAUCAUGCCCCUUAUGUCCUGGGCUACACACGUGCUACAAUGGUUGGUACAACGAGUCGCGAGUCGGUGACGGCAAGCAAAUCUCUUAAAGCCAAUCUCAGUUCGGAUUGUAGGCUGCAACUCGCCUACAUGAAGUCGGAAUCGCUAGUAAUCGCGGAUCAGCACGCCGCGGUGAAUACGUUCCCGGGUCUUGUACACACCG
rnacentral:rRNA from 1 species